AUUAAAUAUAUGAUUAAGUGGUAUUAGGAAAAUGUUACUUUUGAAUGUGAAAAGUGCAAUCUUAAGUUUUAAGGAUAUUAAUACAAUUUUGGUUUAAUUUAGGCUGAAUAAAUAUUAUAGAUACCAUGUUUUACGCUAUAAAUAAAAUAAUAAAUAAUUUGACUUAAUAAGGAUUUUGACAUGUUUUAGUCUAUAAAUAAGUAAUAUUUUUAAGAGAUAAAAUGAAAUAAUUAGUAUAUAAUAUAUUGAAUAUUUAAGGAAUAAUGGGUAUUAAAAGGAAAUUUUAUUUAUGUUGGAUUUUAAAAGGGUAAAAGUAAGGAAUAGGGAUCCUAUGAAGGUUAUGAAGUAGAAUGCUAUAAUUUAGUUGUUACUAGCCAAAGGGUAAUCCCUUUGGCUAGUUCUAGUAUUUUAUAGGGAGAUAUAGUUGCUUAGUCUUGGUGGUUGGUUGAUUCUCUUCAGUUUGAAUAGUUUUCUAAUUCAAGUUUUAUGUUGUUUUUUGAUGUUUUUUUCAGGGGGAACUUCAGUAUUUUAUUGGGAUUGGGCUGAGAGAGACGAAGAGAGAGGAAGAUAGAGGGUUUCAAAUGAGAGGGUUAGUUUAGGAAAUUUAGAAAUGUUGUUAUAUAUCACCAAUUUUACUAACUUUGCAUUUAGGGGAAAAAUUAUUAAGUAAUUUAAGCAUGGAAAUUCAAAUUUCCCUUUUAAAAUUAUAAAUUAUUAUCUUUUCUUUUUCUUUUUCGUUUUUUCUUUCUUCUUUUUAAAAUUUUCCAUUUUUGUUUUUUUACCUCUCUCUACCUUCUUCUUCAACCUUUCCCCUUCUCCAGUGGCUCCUCACCAUCACCAAAAAAAUCUCAGUCAAAUAUAACCCAAAAAGAAAAUAAUGAAAAGCCCAGAAAACAGAGAAGAAGAUGUAUGAUUUUACAGUCUCCAAGAAGAUGAGGAGCACCACCACUGUCGCGCACAUCCGAGAAGGAGAAAAGGAGAAAGACGGACGGGAAAGGGGCUCGAGGGUGGAAUAUCGGGGUUUGGGUUUCGAUUUUUCUGGGUUCAUUUCAAGCUUGCAGGACUGAGAAUGGCCGGCGUCAGAUUUGGGCGGGGUUUGGGUUUCGAUUUUUUCUGGGUUCAUUCAAUGAAGCCUGGAACCUCUGGUCUCCGCAAGAAAAUCGGUGAAUUGAAAUCGAAAUUGCUUCAUUGAAUCAGGCUGAUCCGUAUGGGUGGUUGAUUUUGGUUUUGGAUUUGGAUUUGGAUUUAUAUGAAAUUGUAAUUGAAUGAGAUCUUAUCUGCUUGUUCUUUGAUAUAUGAUGUGUCAGUUUAUUUAUUUUUGCUGA